ACACAGUUGCGUGAGGGGUUUCUGCCAUCAUCAGUGCUGUGUAGCAGAGCUAGUUCCUCUCCCUCUCAGCCGCGCAGGUUUGGACAUAUUUGACUUUUCCCCCCAGGUUGAAUUGACCAAAGCAAUGGUGAUGGAGAAGCCUACUCCCCUGCUGGUUGGGUGGAAAUUUGUGAGACAGCAUUACGCACUGGUGAACCAGGCCCUAGACAUGCUGCAUAGAUUUUAUGGAAAGAACUCUUCUCAUGUCCAUGGGGGAUUGGAUUCAAAUGGAAAGCCAGCAGAUGCAGUCUUUGACAGAAAGAAAUCCACAGGAAAGUGAUGUCACAAAACUUCACCAACUGCCACACCAAGAUUCUCCAUGUUGAUGCUUAUGCUAUGCUAAAUGAUGGUGUGGUAGUCCAGGUGAUGGUGCUUCUCUCUAACAACAACCAGGCUUUGAGGAGAUUCAUGCAGAUGUUUGUACUUGCUCCUGAGGGGUCUAUUGCAUAUCAGUUCUAUGUUCAUAAUGAUAUCCUCAGACACCAAGAUGGGUUUGUCACUGAGCCUCAGGAGGAGUCUGAAGAAGAAGUAGAGGAACCUGAAGAAAGACAGCAAUCACCUCUGAUUCUGGAACUUUCUAUGAUCAGGCAAUUGUCAGUAAUGACAUGGAAGAACAUUUAGAGGAGCCAGUUGCUGAACUGGAGCCUGAUCCUGAACCAGAACCAGAACAAGAACAUGUAUCUGAAAUCCAAGAGGAAAAGUUUGAGCUUGUAUUAGAAGAAACUGCUCCUGAGGAUGCUCAGAAGAGUUCUCUAGCACCUGCAGACAUAUCUCAGACAGUAUAGGAAGACUUGAGGACAUUUUCUUGGGCAUCUGUGACCAGUAACAACCUUCCACCCAGUGGAGCUGUUCCAGUUACUGGGAUACCUCCUCAUGUUUGCAAAGUACUAGCUUCACAGCCCUGUACAGAGUCUAAGCCUGAAUCUCAGGUUCCACCACAGAGACCUCAAAGGGAUCAAAGAAUACGAGAACAACGAAUAAAUAUUCCUCUCCAAAAGGGACCCAGACCAAUCUGUGAGGCUGGUGAGCAAGGUGACAUUGAACCCCGAAGAAUGGUGAGACACCCUGACAGUCACCAACUCUUCAUUGGCAACCUGCCUCAUAAAGUAGACAAAUCAGAGCUUAAAGAUUUCUUUCAAAAUUAUGGGAACAUGGUGGAGUUGCACAUUAACAGUGGUGGGAAAUUACCCAAUUUUGAUUUUGUUAUGUUUGAUGAUUCUGAGCCUGUUCAGAAGGUCCUUAGCAACAGGUCCAUCAUGUUCAGAGGUGAGGUCCGUCUCAUUGUGGAAGAGAAGAAGACUCGAGCUGCCAGGGAAGGGGACCCACGAGAUGAUCGCCUUUGUGGACCUGGAGGCCCUUUAGGUGGGCUGGGUGGUGGAAUGAGAGGCCCUCCCUGUGGAGGCAUGGUACAGAAAGCAGGAUUUGGAGUGGGAAGGUGGCUUGCUCCACGGCAGUGAAUCUUCAUGGAUCUUCAGGGGGCCGUAUGAACCCUAGUUCCUACAGAAUGGUGAAUUUCUUCGACCAGCCUUUGGUAUCUUGGAGUAUGACCCCAGUUUGUUAUAAACUGCUUUAGUUAGUAUAAUUUUACUUCUUUUGUGUGUUAAUGGUGUGUGCUCCUUCUCCCUCUCUUCCCUUUCCUGGCCUUUAGUCUUUCACUUCCAAUUUUGUGGAAUGAUAUUUUAGGAGUAAUGGAUUUUUAAAGAAGAAGAAGAAGAAGAAGAAGAAAAAAAGACCAAAUUUCCUUGCUUAUUUUGCAUGUACAGACUGGAUUUUUUUUCUAACAGCCAUUUCCCCAAAGGAAUGUGUCUUGCGUUAUUGCUGACAUUUGGUACAUUUCAUUCAUUGGAAUAUUUCUUACUUUCUGUGUUUUCAAAAGCCUGUGAGAAAUACAGGAUUUGAUAACAUUUUGAAGGCAGGAAAACCCCAAACUGUUUCUUCUUUGAGAGUCAUGACCACUUUCUGGUGUGGAGAAAUCGCCAUUGGAAAAUUUGA